rnacentral:rRNA from 1 species
UACGUAGGGGGCGAGCGUUGUCCGGAAUCAUUGGGCGUAAAGCGUGUGUAGGCGGCCCGGUAAGUCCGCUGUGAAAGUCCAGGGCUCAACCCUGGGAUGCCGGUGGAUACUGUCGGGCUCGAGUCCGGAAGAGGAGAAUGGAAUUCCUGGUGUAGCGGUGAAAUGCGCAGAUAUCAGGAAGAACACCCGUGGCGAAGGCGGUUCUCUGGGACGGUACUGACGCUGAGACGCGAAAGCGUGGGGAGCGAACAGG